rnacentral:rRNA from 1 species
GAUGAACGCUGGCGGCGUGCCUAAUACAUGCAAGUCGAGCGAACAGACGAGGAGCUUGCUCCUCUGACGUUAGCGGCGGACGGGUGAGUAACACGUGGAUAACCUACCUAUAAGACUGGGAUAACUUCGGGAAACCGGAGCUAAUACCGGAUAAUAUAUUGAACCGCAUGGUUCAAUAGUGAAAGACGGUUUUGCUGUCACUUAUAGAUGGAUCCGCGCCGCAUUAGCUAGUUGGUAAGGUAACGGCUUACCAAGGCAACGAUGCGUAGCCGACCUGAGAGGGGCGGCGGCCCACACUGGAACGGAGCCCGGUUCCGGCCUCCGCGGGGGGGCGCCAGUAGGGACUCUCCCGAAAGGGGGGAAGCCCGGCCGGACCACCGCGGGGGGAGUAAUGAAGGUUUUGGAGUCUAAAAAUUUUUUUAUUGGGGAAAAAAAAAUGUUUAAGUAACUAUGCUCUUCUUGAGGUUCCCUAAUAAGAAGCCCAGGGCAAACUCGGUG